GAUGAACGCUGGCGGCGUGCCUAAUACAUGCAAGUCGAGCGAACAGACGAGGAGCUUGCUCCUCUGACGUUAGCGGCGGACGGGUGAGUAACACGUGGAUAACCUACCUAUAAGACUGGGAUAACUUCGGGAAACCGGAGCUAAUACCGGAUAAUAUAUUGAACCGCAUGGUUCAAUAGUGAAAGACGGUUUUGCUGUCACUUAUAGAUGGAUCCGCGCCGCAUUAGCUAGUUGGUAAGGUAACGGCUUACCAAGGCGACGAUGCGUAGCCGACCUGAGAGGGUGAUAGGCCACACUGGAACUGAGACACGGUCCAGACUCCUACGGGAGGCAGCAGUAGGGAAUCGUACGCAAUGGGCGAAAGCAUGACGGAGCAACGCCGCGUGAGUGAUGAAGGUCUUCGGAUCGUAAAACUCUGUUAUUAGGGAAGAACAAAUGUGUAAGUAACUAUGCACGUCUUGACGGUACCUAAUCAGAAAGCCACGGCUAACUACGUG
rnacentral:rRNA from 1 species